rnacentral:rRNA from 1 species
AGCGAACGCUGGCGGCAGGCCUAACACAUGCAAGUCGAGCGCCCCGCAAGGGGAGCGGCAGACGGGAGAGUAACACGUGGGAACGUACCCUUUGGUUCGGAACAACCCAGGGAAACUUGGGCUGAUACCGGAUAAGCCCUCACGGGGAAAGAUUUAUCGCCGAAGGAUCGGCCCGCGUCUGAUUAGCUAGUUGGUGAGGUAACGGCUCACCAAGGCGACGAUUAGUAGCUGGUCUGAGAGGAUGAUCAGCCUCACUGGGACUGAGACACGGCCCAGACUCCUACGGGAGGCAGCAGUGGGGAAUAUUGGACAAUGGGCGCAAGCCUGAUCCAGCCAUGCCGCGUGGGUGAUGAAGGCCCUAGGGUUGUAAAGCCCUUUCGGCGGGGAAGAUAAUGACGGUACCCGCAGAAGAAGCCCUGGCUAACUUCGUGCCAGCCGCCGCAGUAA